rnacentral:rRNA from 1 species
UACGUAGGGUGCGAGCGUUGGCCGGAAUUACUGGGCGUAAAGAGCUCGUAGGUGGCUUGUCGCGUUGUUCGUGAAAUCUCACGGCUUAACUGUGAGCGUGCGGGCGAUACGGGCAGACUAGAGUACUGCAGGGGAGACUGGAAGUCCUGGUGUAGCGGUGGAAUGCGCAGAUAUCAGGAGGAACACCGGUGGCGAAGGCGGGUCUCUGGGCAGUAACUGACGCUGAGGAGCGAAAGCGUGGGGAGCGAACAGG